rnacentral:rRNA from 1 species
AAUGCCUAGGAAUCUGCCUAGUAGUGGGGGAUAACGUCCGGAAACGGGCGCUAAUACCUCAUACGUCCUACGGGAGAAAGUGGGGGAUCUUCGGACCUCACGCUAUUAGAUGAGCCUAGGUCGGAUUAGCUAGUUGGUGAGGUAAUGGCUCACCAAGGCGACGAUCCGUAACUGGUCUGAGAGGAUGAUCAGUCACACUGGAACUGAGACACGGUCCAGACUCCUACGGGAGGCAGCAGUGGGGAAUAUUGGACAAUGGGCGAAAGCCUGAUCCAGCCAUGCCGCGUGUGUGAAGAAGGUCUUCGGAUUGUAAAGCACUUUAAGUUGGGAGGAAGGGCAGUUACCUAAUACGUGAUUGUUUUGACGUUACCGACAGAAUAAGCACCGGCUAACUCUGUGCCAGCAGCCGCGGUAAUACAGAGGGUGCAAGCGUUAAUCGGAAUUACUGGGCGUAAAGCGCGCGUAGGUGGUUUGUUAAGUUGGAUGUGAAAGCCCCGGGCUCAACCUGGGAACUGCAUCCAAAACUGGCAAGCUAGAGUAUGGUAGAGGGUGGUGGAAUUUCCUGUGUAGCGGUGAAAUGCGUAGAUAUAGGAAGG